UCGUCCAAGGAGCACUUCCAGCCGUUUCUGCGUGACUUUGAACUGAUUGCAAAUGUUUAAUGUGGGACAUGACAAUGCGCGCCGUUGACGUCAGUUUAAAGACCUGCAAGAGGUUGUCCCUCGUUCGAUUCAACGUGUGCUGCGUUCACUGUCAUUGAAAGAGCAUUCGCGAUCCACGUUUCAUGGCAAUAAUAUGUUACAAGGGUGGAUGUUGAGCGGCUCUGUAUUUCUCUAUUUUUUUAGGGUUGUGAAUGGAAAGUGGUUACCAGAGUGGUGGAGCUGAGUUUGGGAAUAAAUAAAAACGUCUUGUGUGUCAGCUAUGUCAUAUUGGCCGCCAGGGGGGGAAAGGCUAAGUCGAAUGACCCAGCACAUGGUGGGAAGUAAACCCCUCCCGGUCGCUAGCUUUUGGUAGCUCUCUUCCGUGCUUUUGUUUUCGGGCGUAGCUUUGUCUAUGUGUGCAUGAAGCGUCGUCAAACGAUUGCGUGACAGAUGGGGCUUUUGUGUGAAAUACGACUCGCGGCCAACAUGACCUCCAGCGUCACGCGUCGAGUGGUGCGUGCGGUGGGAGUUGUCUGGUGAAAAAUGCAUUGUUGUGUCGAGGGGGGGUGGAAGAGCCGUCCGGGCUUCUGCCACCGCCGCCGUCGUCGCUCUGCUAUUCACUCGGCCAAGCGAUUCUCACGAUUAUGAAUAGCCUUUUAAACCCAAAUACUAUCGCCGGGACACGAACAAGACACCAAGCAUCUUUGCGUUCGUAUUAACAAUUGAGUUUUAGUCGCCCAAUUGGAUGAGAACUCUGCGUGCGGGAAGGGAGCCACUUAGCAGGCCCUUUCGCCAUUGCUUUGUAAGGCUGCUGGCAAGCUAACACCGUUAUCAACCCAAGAAACACGGAGCAACAAGAUGAAGAAGAAAGCCCGGAACCACCGAGUUUCGGCACCGCAGAGGCCUUCGUCGCCCAUCAAGCCCUCACCCAACAAACAGAUCCUGACGUACGCUCAGGCGCAGCGCAUGGUGGAGUUUGAACUCGACGGCCGCAUCCAUCGGCUCAGUGUCUUUGACCGGCUCGACGUGAUCUCUGACGGCGACCCCGUGUUGCGGGAAAUGGUGGAGUGUGCCAAAAACAAGGAGAACGCAGACAAACCACAGCAGCAGGUUCUGUUGAGGUCUGUCCGAUUAAAAAACAACCGGGACAAGAGAAAAGCUGCACUGGGCAUCACUGCUCAGAAAGAAGGAGGCGGGCAUCCUGUCAGUGUUCAUCCCGGUCCGAAACUCCCAGAGCCUAAAUUUCGGACUGUAGAAUAUAACUUGCCAGCAGUUCCUAAACUUCAUUCUUCUUAUUAUAAAUACGAAGAGAAGACCGAGGAAGAGCUUGAUGAGGAAACCGAGUACGACAUGGACGAGGAAGAUUACGCCUGGCUUGAUUUGGUCAACGAAAAGCGACGAAGUGAAGGCGCCAGCCAGGUGUCUUUCAACGUCUUUGAGUUCCUUAUUGACCGCUUUGAGAAAGAGUUGUACCUAGAAGGCUUGGAUAAAGGCAGCGAGAAGCAAGCUUCUGUGGACGAAGACACGGUGUGCUCCAUCUGCAUGGACGGCGAAUGUCACAACAGCAACGCCAUUCUCCUCUGCGACCUGUGCAACGUGGCCGUGCACCAGGAGUGUUACGGCGUCCCCUACAUCCCCGAGGGCCAGUGGCUUUGCAGACACUGCCUGCAGUCGCCAAUGCAGCCCGCCGACUGCGUCCUUUGUCCCAGUAAGGGCGGGGCGGUGAAAAAGACGGACGACGACCGCUGGGGCCACGUGGUGUGCGCCCUCUGGGUCCCUGAGGUGGGCUUCUCCAACACUACCUUCAUCGAGCCCAUCGACGGCGUCCGGCACAUCCCGCCGGCCCGCUGGAAGCUCACCUGUUACCUGUGCAAAGAAAAGGGCGUCGGGGCGUGCAUCCAGUGCCACAAAGCCAACUGCUACACCGCCUUCCACGUCAGCUGUGCCCAAAAAGCCGGCCUCUUCAUGAAGAUCGAGCCCGUUAAAGACAUGACUGAGUCAGGCGAGCCCACCUUGUCAUUGAAAAAGACCGCCUACUGUGGUGCUCACACACCCAAUGGCUGCGUGAGGAGGAAACUCGCAAUCUACGACGAGGUCAAACCCAAGAAUGGACUAUGUAGCAAAGUGGACAAAGUUCCAAGAGCUGCUCAAUGUAAAGGGAAACAGAAGAAAAAGACUAAAAAACCUGAGCCUGAUGUUAAAAGUGAGGUGCCAACUCCUGCUGUUGUGCCUACGUUUCCUGAUCAUAGGUUGCAAACUAUUCUGAACCAGGUAUCGGUCCAAAAAAAGAAAGCGUUUGUGGAGCUCGUCUUAAAUUACUGGACUCUUAAACGGCAGUUCAGGAAUGGGCUCCCAUUGAUCCGACGCCUCCAGACAAGUCUGCAGUCCCAGAAAAAUGCGCAGCCGGUUUGUUCAAAACGGAAUGAGGAAGAAACACGGGCGCUGAAGGAGCAGCUGAAGGAGUGGCACCGGCUCCGGCACGACCUCGAGAGAGCCCGGCUGCUGCUGGAGCUCAUUCGCAAGAGGGAGAAACUCAAGAGGGAGGAGUUAAAAUUCCAAGAGAGCCUGCUUGAGAUGCAGCUCACUCCAUUUAGCAUCCUGCUCAGAGGCGUCUUGGACCAGUUACUGUCAAAAGACCAGGCCAGGAUCUUCACCCAGCCGGUCGACAUCAAUGAGGUGCCUGACUACCUUGACCACAUCAAGUGCCCUAUGGACUUCUCCACCAUGCGGCAGCGCAUCGACGCCCAGAAAUACAGCAACUUUGACCAGUUCGAGGAGGACUUCGACCUCCUUGUCGGCAAUUGCAUGAAGUACAACUCCAAGGACACCUGUUUCUACCGGGCUGCCGUUCGCCUUCGAGAUCAGGGCGGGGCGGUGAUUCGGAAGGCGCGGCGGGAUGCGGAGAAAAUCGGCUUCGACGCAGUCAGCGGCAUGCAUCUGGAAGAGGUCCCCGAAGUAAAGACAUCGUCAUUUUCGUGGGAGGACGUGGAUCGCUUACUCGUGCCCGCCAACCGCAGCCAUUUGCCCCUGGACAAGCAGCUGCAGCAACUUCUGGAGAAGUUUGACCUGACCUGCGCCAUGAAGUCCAGCCCGUCCCGCAGCAAACGCAUCAAGCUGCUGAAAAAGACCAUUAAUGAAGUGCGCAGCGACAUGAGCCUGAAGAGAGUCCACCCCUCCCCACAUCAGCACCACCACAACAGCAGCUCGUCCUCUGGAGCCCCUUCGUCAUCAGCGUCAUCUUCAUCAGCUGAGGUCGUGGCUAAGACUGAAGAGGAGACGUGGAAGCCAAAUGGACAUUUCCCAGAUGACGAGGCAGACAAGUCUCUCCCGCCGAAACUUGAACCCUCCGACGCCAUUCCUCCUCUCAUCCACUCGGACACGGACCCCGAGCCCCCUACCCUCAAACCCAUCGACGUCACCCCAGAUUUUGACAAAAAGACUCACGCCAAGGCCGCCAAGUUCGACGGGGACCGACCAAACACCCCGUCGUCCCCGCCACACCUAAACGGCCACUUCCACAGUAACUUCCAGAAUUCUCUAUUCGAUGGCGAUGUGAGCGUAGUGGCCACAUCCACCCUGGCCGAACCGGCGGGCACCGUCAGUCGGCGGACCGCCGUGCUCUUCCGCAAGUCCCAAGCCACCGGACCCCACAAGCUGGCGAGGGCUGGCGACGACAAUGGCCCUGACCAGGCCGAGCGGAAAGAGAGCGAGGAGGAGGUCGACGGCGGCAACACGCAACUGGGUUCCAAAUCCUUCCUGUCCGUCGUGAUUCCUAGACUGGAGACCUUACUUCACAGCAAAAAAAGGAAACAUCUGGACAGCCAUGAGGAGGUCACAGAGGACGACGAGUCUCCUGUUAAAAGACUUGACAUGGGGCUGUCGAGAGGUUUCCUGGAGGUGGAAGAGGAGAACGAGCUCGGCCAGCCCAGCAGAGUGAGCAGACCUGUAGAGCCACGUAGACGCUGCGCCUCAGAGUCCUCCAUCUCCUCGUGCAGCAGUCUACCUGGAGGUCCCGGUACCAUCCUCAGUCUUCCGAAGUGUGGGAAAGGGAAACCUGCUUUGUUGCGAAGAAACACUGUGGAUGAUAAGACUGAAUUAAUUGCCUGCAUAGAAAAUGGGAAUUUUGCCAAAGCUGCACGAAUCGCUGCAGAGGUUGGCAACAGCAAUAUUUGGAUGCCCGCUAGUGCUGCAACAGUUGCGCUGGAACCCCUAAAGCUAGUUUGGGCCAAAUGUAGUGGAUACCCCUCCUACCCCGCAUUGAUCAUCGACCCCCACAUGCCGCGCGUGGGCUGCCAGCACAACGGGGUGUCCAUCCCCAUGCCCCCCCUGGACGUGCUCCGCAUCGGAGAACAAAUGCAGUACAAAGCCGACGAGAAACUCUACCUCGUGCUCUUCUUCGACAACAAGCGCAGCUGUGUGGCCCGGUUAAUUGGUGGGCGGAGUCGCCCAGCCUUAGCCGCACCUGCCUGCAAUCAGUCAACUCCACCUGCCUGCUUGCAACUUGGCCUCGUCUUCAGGUGCGGCUCCAUUGGAAGGAAGGCGCCGAAGUAUUGCCUCGCCUGUCGGGGUUUUGGUCGUCUUGUUUUGUUCCCGCAAGAUUUCGUCUAGUUGGCUCCAGAAGAACUCCAGGGCAAUCCUUGUAUCAUCCCUGUUCCCAAGUGUCACCUGUGUCCAUGGAGGCUGGGGGGAAAAAAGCUCCCACGCAGCAGAAAACCGGGCAGGGGGAGUGCGAGAGAGAGACGCGAGUGCUGCUCUGCAUCGGAGACGUGGGGGAGUGAAAAGGUCUGCUGAAGCCAUUCAUCUGUGACAACGGAGUUGGAACUAGGAAGCUCGUAUACUUUGCGGCUCAAAGCGACUCGGCUAUGACGAUUGCGUCAAUGUCUUCAUAAAGGACACCAAUGGAUGAGAUCGUGAUGCAAUCAAAAGAGAUCGCCAUUGCAGCACCAGCAGAAGCCUAAGAAGGUUCCAGAAGAUGGGGCGUGAAGAGGAUAUCUGAUAACAAGGCGCCGUCGCACGCUCCGGGAACGAAGCGACGGACCGAGCACGACGAGGGUUCGGGGCGGAGAUGACGACCGAGGCUCAGGACGUGCGACACUGAGAUGAUUCCUCAAGACCCAUUCUGUGUGGGAUUUGGGAAGCCUCUGGAGUUCUCCACGGAGGUUCACCAGCCUGGACUCGUGAAGAGAUGAAAAGGUUUGUCGUGCGGAAGCCGAAGGGUCUCAUGAUGUCGUUCCUGGAAAUGCCUCACCUGUGGACAAACACCAACGUGAGUCAUUGUGCUGCUGUGAACUUAAAUUGUACCCUACACAAUAAAGUUCCUGUGGAACCGCCAAUGGAGUGUUGUGUAAUGUUGGUAUUUUCAAUGUUCAGCUGGAAUGUUUUUUGUUAAUGGUGACUCGCAUGUGUUUUGAGCCUUUGCUCUUCCAGGUUGCUUCAGGUUUGUGGUGUCAAAUAAUAUUGCCCAAUGUUUUGAGUUCCCCAGUCUGAACUUGAGCUUUGAAGCCAUCCAAGCUGGUCAACAUGUGGAAACUUCAUUCCUAAGUUUUAGUCUACAAGACUUGGAGUAUCAACUGGCUGAAAUUCUUUUUGGUGGUGUCUAAACUUGAUUCCCAAGUUUGACUCUACAAGACUCGGAGUAUCAACUGGCUGAAAUGUUUUUUUGGUAAUGUUAACAUUGCACCAUGUCUAAACUUCAUUCCCAAAUUUAUCACCUGGCUUAAAUGUUAACAUUGCACCAUGUCUAAACUUCAUUCCCAAAUUUUUAUCUACAAGACUUGGUGUAUCACCUGGCCUAAAUGUUUAUUUUAUUAAUGUACAAUGUCUAAACUUGAUUCCCAAGUUUGACUCAUCAAGACUUUGUGUAUCACCAUGUCUAAACUUCAUUCCCAAAUUUUUAUCUACAAGACUUGGUGUAUCAACUGGCCUAAAUGUUUUUUUGUAAUGUUAACAUUGUACCAUGUCUAAACUUAAUUCCCACCUUUUAAUCUACAUGACUUGGUGUAUCACCUGGCCUAAAUGUUUAUUGUAUUAAUGUACAAUGUCUAAACUUGAUUCCCAAGUUUGACUCAUCAAGACUUUGUGUAUCACCAUGUCUAAACUUCAUUCCCAAAUUUUUAUCUACAAGACUUGGUGUAUCAACUGGCCUAAAUGUUUUUUUGUAAUGUUAACAUUGUACCAUGUCUAAACUUAAUUCCCACCUUUUAAUCUACAUGACUUGGUGUAUCACCUGGCCUAAAUGUUUUUUGUAUUAAUGUACAAUGUCCAAGUU